AGAGUUUGAUCCUGGCUCAGAACGUACGCUGGCGGCACGCCUUAUACAUGCAAGUCGAACGAAGUAGCAAUACUUAGUGGCAGACGGGUGAGUAACAUGUAGGUAUCUGCCCUUUGGCCUGGAAUAACACGAGGAAACUUGUGCUAAUACCGGAUAAGUCUUUACGGAGAAAGCUUUAUGCACCAUUGGAUGAGCCUGCACUUGAUUAGUUUGUUGGUGGGGUAAUGGCCUACCAAGACAAUGAUCAAUAGCUGAUUUGAGAGGAUGAUCAGCCACAUUGGAACUGAGACACGGUCCAAACUCCUACGGGAGGCGGCAGUAGGGAAUCUUGCACAAUGGAGGAAACUCUGAUGCAGCGAUGCCGCGUGAGUGAAGAAGGCCUUUGGGUUGUAAAGCUCUUUCGUCGGGGAAGAAAAUGACUGUACCCGAAUAAGAAGGUCCGGCUAACUUCGUGCCAGCAGCCGCGGUAAUACGAAGGGACCUAGCGUAGUUCGGAAUUACUGGGCUUAAAGAGUUCGUAGGUGGUUAAAAAAGUUGGUGGUGAAAUCCCAGAGCUUAACUCUGGAACUGCCAUCAAAACUUUUUAGCUAGAGUAUGAUAGAGGAAAGCAGAAUUUCUAGUGUAGAGGUGAAAUUCGUAGAUAUUAGAAAGAAUACCGAUUGCGAAGGCAGCUUUCUGGAUCAUUACUGACACUGAGGAACGAAAGCAUGGGUAGCGAAGAGGAUUAGAUACCCUCGUAGUCCAUGCCGUAAACGAUGUGUGUUAGACGUUGGAAAUUUAUUUUCAGUGUCGCAGCGAAAGCAAUAAACACACCGCCUGGGGAGUACGACCGCAAGGUUAAAACUCAAAUGAAUUGACGGGGACCCGCACAAGUAGUGGAGCAUGUGGUUUAAUUCGAAGAUACGCGCAGAACCUUACCAACACUUGACAUGUUCGUCGCGACUUUAAGAGAUUAGAGUCUUCGGUUCGGCCGGACAAAACACAGGUGCUGCAUGGCUGUCGUCAGCUCGUGUCGUGAGAUGUUGGGUUAAGUCCCGCAACGAGCGCAACCCCUACUUUUAGUUGCUACCAUUUAGUUGGGCACUCUAAAAGAACUGCCGGUGAUAAGCUGGAGGAAGGCGGGGAUGACGUCAAGUCCUCAUGGCCCUUACGUGUUGGGCUACACACGUGCUACAAUGGUACUUACAGAGAGAAGCGAAGAUGCAAGUCUAAGCCAAUCCCUAAAAGGUACCUCAGUUCGGAUUGUACUCUGCAACUCGAGUACAUGAGGCUGGAAUUACUAGUAAUCGCGGAUCAGCGCGCCGCGGUGAAUACGUUCCCGGGUCUUGUACACACCGCCCGUCACACCAUGGAAGUUGGUUACACCUUAAGGCAAAGCAUAAAACCUUUGACUACGGUACGAUCAGCGACUGGGGUGAAGUCGUAACAAGGUAACC
rnacentral:rRNA from 2 species